AAAAACUGACCUCAGCUGAAUCAGAUCCAGCAUUACUCAGGAGGUCAGCUACACUUCCUUUCUCUCCACCCCAAAACAGCCAGAGGCUGACAGCUGAUUAAUGGGACCAAGUUGACUCUCUUCCUCAAGGCUGGAACACAGAUAUGCAGUGACUCACAUUCUGUCACAAAACAGUGGGCAAUGUCCUAUGCCUGGGGAAAGAUAGGAGGAAUAUGUGUCCCUGAAUGACCUUGUGGAAGAGGUGCUCUACUAGCUACAACAGGUGGAACAAGAUAGAAACAAGAUAUAUAAGAUAGAAGUAGGAUGAAUGGGGUUUCUUCGUGGAUUGAAUGGAACUCAAGAAACAGAGAAAUGAUAAAGCUUUUACUGGACUGGCAACAUUUGCCUGCCACUGGUGGAAAAUUCGAGCACUUUGGAGCUCACAUUUGAGAGUGAAAGGUAAGGAAAAGAAUCAGAACCUCAACUCUCUACUCCUACCCUUGUAGCAAAAUAAGGGAGGCAAUGACAUAUGUGUUCCCUCUUUACUAGCCUCUGACACAGAGUAGGUUUGUAUUUCUUGCACCUUCUCCAGGGAUCAGAAUAUUUUAGGCAUGGAGAUGUAAUUACUGUGAUGUAUUUGAAAUCUUGUAGCAUUCACUUUGCCAAUUGUAUGGUCAUAGUUUAUGGGAAAGGUUGUUGGAAAGAACUUCUCUAAGGAAAAAUUCCAUUGUAGCUUGGUAGGUAAUUACCAGCAUUUUUAUCCACAUGUCAUAAAGAAUUCAAGGAGUUGCUUAAGCUAUCAUUAUUAAGCUAGUGAUAUGAAGCAGGAAGAAAAAUCAACACCUUCCUUUUAAUAACUUCUGUGUCAUGAUCGAUUCUUCAUAAUUAUUAUGUGAAUUAUGUAUUUUGUGUCUUUCCUUUAUUUUAUAAAGUGUUGAUUAAGUAUCACUGUGUUAAAAGGGUAUAUUAAAGCUGUAGCUUUCAGGUAAAAAAAUAAACAAAAGGGCCUGAGACAGAAAGUUCCAAAUAUAAUGGAAAAAAAGUCAUUGUGCUGAGAAAGGAUCAGGACUAAAAACGCCUUCCCUCAGUCUGUCAGUCCUAACUUAGAUUAUAACUUUUCUUGCUCAUGUAUCUUAUAAAGUGUUUGUACAUUUUCAGUCAUGUUUAGGAUACAGGGAGUCAACACAUAAAAUAAGCACAUGAAAGAAAUUUCAUUAGAGGUUCCCUUAGCAGCUUGAAGCUGAGAAUGCACAAACUAAGGGUUUGUUGAUUCAUUCAUUUGCUGCACAGUUCGUUGAGAGCAUGUUAUGCACUGGCCCUGGUGCUCGGAGCAGGGUGUCAAGAGUGAUGCACGGCAAGCCUGCGUUGCCCUUGCAGGGUUUAUGACCCAGUGGCUCAGAAACACAUUAAAUAAGGGAGCACACAAGCAUUAUCUAAUUGUAUACUAUAAUAAGUGCUUGAAAACAAAAAACAAGGGGUGAUCCAAGAGACUAACAGUGUGGGAAGAGGGUAAGUCAAGAAGAUAAGGUAAGUCAUCAGAGAAGACGUCACUGAGGCAGAGAUACAUGAAGGCAGGUAAGUCAGUGCAGCAAGGAGAGGGAACCGCAGCACUCCAGACGGGAAAGGUAAA